AAAGCACAAAAGCAGCUCAAUACUGCUUAUUAAAGUUGUGGUUAGGCCUCAGCUCUGGCCACUACAUGAGGGUGCUUGAGAGAGUGCGGUGAGCAUUCAUCAGAAUGCUUAAAUGGUCCAGUCAUGACAUUUAUUGUUCAUCCCACGUUGCCCUUGAGAAUGUGGUGGGGUGCUACCUUCUUGAACCUCAGCAGUUCAUGUACUGUGGCUUAAACAUAACAUCAGUGCCAGGAAUGCAGAUCAAUUCUGGUGUCUGGAACUCAUCAUGGUCAAUGAGGCAAGAGUACAGCAGAGAGCCAUUGAUCAGUGAAACUGACAGGCCUGAAAGCCUUGAACAAGAAGCUGUGCGUGUUCUGAGGACAUGAUGUUGCUGUU